UUGCCCCCCUGCCUUCUGCUGAGUAAGGACACAGUGUACCUCCCCUCCUGGGGACACAGUGGUUCAAGGAACCAACCAGAAAGCAGAUACCAGACCCUCACUAGGCAACAAGCCCGCUUGGACAUUGAAUUAGACUUGCCAACCUCUAUAACUGUACUUUGAAACCUGUGUUAACAUCUUUCUCCCAAAGGACAAGGACCCAACUGACACAAAAGCAUCGCUUUUCCCAUCCUUGAAACAUUUUAACAAUAUAUGUCAAGUGUGUGCUGUCACAAAAUUACACAAAAAUUCUACAAAUAGUUGUGGUAAAAAUUCUGUUAAACAACUUGUGGUUUCAGGUUUGACAUACAAAUAGUUUGGAAGUCAUCACAUUCAUGCAAGAAAAACCUAGGCAACCUGAAAAGCAACUUUUCUUGGACCCACAAGAGAACUUAGUUUGCAGAGCAAGCCACCUCUCUGAAAUCUGGAGAAAAAGAAGAAUACAGAGAAUCAUGGCUCAGAUGAGCUUACCUGGAAUAGAAGCCACUGGAAUGAGAAACUGGAAAAAACAUAUGAAUGGUCAUUUUCAUAAAUUGCUGGAAGCUAAAUGUGGAACAACAUGGGAGUAAGAAUUGCUGGGGGAUGUUGUCUUAGAGUGUCCAACUCUUUCAUGGAUUUUGCUUCCAGGAACUCUAUCAGGUUUGCACAGUGAAUGUCCAGAAGACGUUCUCUUAUAGUUUCAGCAGGGAGAGAAGAGUAAUCAUUGUUAUAUGCAUGUAUGCAGCCUUAACAUAACAAAGACAUCCUUUCCACGGAGGAAGUCUUCACUAAAGUCUUACUUCACAACCAUGGGAUAAGGGCUGUCACUCCAUCCUCUAAUCUUCCUGUCUCACCAAAGGGAGAGUAAGCUGUUCCAAAAGAAGCAUGCUUGAAAAUCACAAGUUAGAGAAAAAAGACCACUAAGAGUCCAGAUAUAAUUGAUUUUAAAACGUCUUCUCUCUUCCACACUUUACCACCUCUACAAUAGGGCUCCAGUGUAAUAAUAGUGGAUUAGAAGUGAAAGAACUGCAAGUCAUAGACUCUCUCUGAUGAAAAGUACUAAAAGAAUCCCAAAGCGAAAAGGUAUUGACUCCAUCAUUCUUCACUGUUUUGAAAUUUCUCUGAUGCUGUCAAAGAGAGCAUUUGUGAUGCCUCAUGACCAUGGAAUUCCAGGGGACCCACAAUUCACAGAGAUUCAAUGAGACUGAAGGCAAGUACAAGGUAAGGCUGUUACAUAUACUAUUAAGUAAGCAAUGGUGCAGACAGCCCUAAGAGGGUGUCUUUUCUGCUUAAAUCGGGAUUUAAUUCAAAUGCAGAAAGAAAGCAAUGGUGUUCUAAAAACCAGGAAUUACUAAGGAACCUUCUCCUUUUUUACUUACUUGUGUUAUUUCCUUCUGUCAUAAGUAUUCCUAA